rnacentral:rRNA from 1 species
UACGAAGGGGGCUAGCGUUGUUCGGAUUUACUGGGCGUAAAGGGCGCGUAGGCGGCCACCGCAAGUCGACUGUGAAAUCUCCGGGCUUAACCCGGAAAGGUCAGCCGAUACUGCGGGGCUAGAGUGCAGAAGGGGCAACUGGAAUUCUCGGUGUAGCGGUGAAAUGCGUAGAUAUCGAGAGGAACACCUGCGGCGAAGGCGGGUUGCUGGGCUGACACUGACGCUGAUGCGCGAAAGCCAGGGGAGCGAACGGG